AUUAUUUUGUAGCUGAGUUAUAAGUUCGUGCAUAGUCAUGGAUACGUGGGUCUGAGUUUUUUAAAGGAAUGUAUUUGUCUUGAUUUGGAAAGGACUGAGCAACUGAUUAGUUCUACUGCGAGAUUGAUAGCUGGUAUCGUACAGAAGUAGAUCACGUGUCAAAUUACGAGAAUUACGUAAUGUGGCUCCAAUGUGGAAAAGACGGUCAGCGAUAUAUAUGGGUUUAUACAAAAACUCCACAGCCCACGGCAGAAGAUAUUUUGUUGGUACAUAAUAAACUGGUUGAAAUAGGAGGAGGAUGGGACAAAGUUCCACUAAAAUUUGCAGGAUGCGUUCAAUCUAAUAUACAAGAUUAGAUUGUGUGUGAAUACAUAUAUGUAAAUAUUUAGUAGGUUUUUUUAAAAGUUUCUAGAUAUUACACCACAGAAUAAAAGUAGCA